GGCUCCGGUUCAGUAAAUCAGCAGUUUAGCAGUUCAGUAAAUUAGACCGACUUUUAAGUUUUAAUGGAGUAUUGGAGUACCAUUGGACGUCAUAAACUCAUAACAAUAUAACAUGUAACGAUAAAAACCAGUUAUCCCCGCACCAUACUCUAUCAUAGUUACGGUAGCUGCCGGCUGGAAUAAAACACAAAUUUAAUAAAAACAUUUAAUUUGACUUAUAUUGGUUAUUUGCUUCUUAUCGCCAACUACCGAUAGUUAAAAAUUUAAAAUAGAAAAAUACUUAAAAUUGCCCGCUGCCGAAUAACUGCCUAUAAACAGUAAAAACUAUAGAUUAUAGUGAACAAUUUAUAUUUUAUAAUUUUUUAUUAACAUAAAAAAAAUAAUACAUUGGUAUUUAUUUAUAAUCAAGUGCACUAUUCAUCUGAUGAUUGAUAAUCGUUUUUUAAAGUGAAAAAUGUUCGGAAACGUAGUGAAGCUCGACUGGCAGAGCACUGCUGAGGGAGAAACUAUAAUGCAACAUUUUUACAAUCCGCAGACAAAUGGUAGAAAAUUUUUUGGACUAUUGGAACGACCUAUACUGCCAAACAUAGAAGAAGUAUCGUACAAAUUGUUUUUUGUCGGAAAAAGCGGAGCUGGAAAAUCAUCUACCAUUGCUCGAUUAGCAGGGAUAUUAAAUCUUGAUGAAGAGUAUGUAGAAACUCGAGGUAUACGUAAAAGUAAUAUUUAUUGGCCUGUCAAAGUAUGGGAUAGAAUUAUUCUAUUUAGACUGCAAUGUUGGGAUGCCGGUGAUAGAGACAUUAAAAAGUUUGGACACAUAUUACCGGUGUGUAAAGAAGAGGCAGAUGCCAUUGUGUUUGUAUUUUCCUUUGCUGACCCUAGUGGAUUAACUAAUAUUUCAACAAAUCUACCUGUAUACAUGAACGACAAAAGUAAACCGGCUCCUAUUGUUAUUGGCACAAAAUAUUGUGCAGGUGAUUUUACUGCCAAAGUUACAAUUGAUGAUAUCGAUGAAUUUGAAAAAACACAAAAAAUCACUAUAUUGAAAAUAAACAAAACUGAUGGAAAAUAUGAUGUGAAAGAAAACGAGAUUACAGCAUAUACAUUGAAUGUAAUUUGUGAACAGUUAUGGAUAAGAGAUCAAAACUAUAUAUUAAAUCAGGAAAUGGAAUCUUCUCAAAUUGUCUGAACAGAGUUUCUUUGUGGAUUGUGCUUUAUAUCUUUAUAGUAUAUUUAUGAAUCUUAGAAUCAAUGAAUUGGACAACUGCGUUUGCCUAGAUUAGCAGUUCCUAAACUCAGAUUUGCGGCUUAAAACAGUGUUGUAGAUGUUUUUAUGUUAGUAAAGACAUCAGUGGAAUUCAAGAGAAACUUUUUGACCUUCAACUCGGCUUCAAGUCAAUAUAUUUCAAAACACAAUUUUUACGAUGAUUCUCAUACAACUUUGGACCCCAAGCCAAAAAUAAACCAAUUGUAUUAAGAGAAGCAGAUGUUUUAUUAUUAUAUCUUACCACUUAUUUAUGUGAAGCCAACUUUUCUGCAUUAAUGGUAACAAAGUAUAGAAAUAGAUCUAUAAUAUGAUAUGCAAUGUGCCCUUGUAAUAAAAAUCAAAUCAAAUAUUGAGAAAUUAGUGGACAGUAUGCAACAUCAGCCAUUAAUUUAUUAAUUUAAGAAUUUUACUUUGUUUAAAAAAUGUAAGUGAAUAGUUAACAGUAAUAAUUCAUUUUUUUUUAUAAAUUAAAAAUAAUCAUAAAUUUGUAUACCAAUAUUGGAAUGUAUACUAAUAUUUGGAGUGCUCAGUAUCCCUGCUAUUAUAUUUUAAUAUAUAUUACAAAAAGUAAAUAUUGUCUACUGUUUUUUAAAUGGAGUACUUAAUAUAUUAUAUAGAUACAUUAAUAAAUUAUAGAACAAAAUUAAUGUUACUUUCUGUACAGUAUUGAACCAAUGAUUAAAUAUGCACUUUGUACUUAGCAUGAAAAAUAUUUAUGUGACCUGUAAUUAUUCAAGUUUUGUACUUUAUUUUUUUUUAAGUAAAAAAGUUUACUAUAUUUCUUUACUUUUGUUUAAACUAAAGAUAAUUUAAUGAUUAUUAUAAAUUGUAUUUUAAUAUAUAUUUUUUUAAGUGCCUUAUCAUUCCUGAAACAAAAACUUUUAUAAGACUAAACUAACUUAGUUAAUUUGUUAAAUUAUUAUAUUUAAUGUUAUUUAAAUAAAGAAAUUUAUCCUAAAAUAAA